UACGUAGGGUGCGAGCGUUGUCCGGAAUUAUUGGGCGUAAAGCGCACGUAGGCGGCUUGUUAAGUCAGGGGUGAAAUCCUGGAGCUCAACUCCAGAACUGCCUUUGAUACUGGCGAGCUUGAGUUCGGGAGAGGUGAGUGGAACUGCGAGUGUAGAGGUGAAAUUCGUAGAUAUUCGCAAGAACACCAGUGGCGAAGGCGGCUCACUGGCCCGAUACUGACGCUGAGGUGCGAAAGCGUGGGGAGCAAACAGG
rnacentral:rRNA from 1 species